rnacentral:rRNA from 1 species
UACGUAGGGUGCAAGCGUUGUCCGGAAUUAUUGGGCGUAAAGAGCUCGUAGGCGGUUUGUCGCGUCUGCUGUGAAAACUCGGGGCUUAACCCCGGGCCUGCAGUGGGUACGGGCAGACUAGAGUGCGGUAGGGGAGACUGGAAUUCCUGGUGUAGCGGUGAAAUGCGCAGAUAUCAGGAGGAACACCGGCGGCGAAGGCGGGUCUCUGGGCCGUAACUGACGCUGAGGCGCGAAAGCUAGGGGAGCAAACGGG